rnacentral:rRNA from 1 species
UACGGGGGGGGCAAGCGUUGUUCGGAAUUACUGGGCGUAAAGGGCUCGUAGGUGGCCAACUAAGUCAGACGUGAAAUCCCUCGGCUUAACCGGGGAACUGCGUCUGAUACUGGAUGGCUAGAGUUUGGGAGAGGGAUGCGGAAUUCCAGGUGUAGCGGUGAAAUGCGUAGAUAUCUGGAGGAACACCGGUGGCGAAGGCGGCAUCCUGGACCAACACUGACGCUGAGGAGCGAAAGCGUGGGGAGCAAACGGG